AUUGAACGCUGGCGGCAGGCCUAACACAUGCAAGUCGAACGGUAAUAGGAAGCAGCUUGCUGCUUUGCUGACGAGUGGCGGACGGGUGAGUAAUGUCUGGGAAACUGCCUGAUGGAGGGGGAUAACUACUGGAAACGGUAGCUAAUACCGCAUAACGUCGCAAGACCAAAGAGGGGGACCUUCGGGCCUCUUGCCAUCUGAUGUGCCCAGAUGGGAUUAGCUAGUAGGUGGGGUAACGGCUCACCUAGGCGACGAUCCCUAGCUGGUCUGAGAGGAUGACCAGCCACACUGGAACUGAGACACGGUCCAGACUCCUACGGGAGGCAGCAGUGGGGAAUAUUGCACAAUGGGCGCAAGCCUGAUGCAGCCAUGCCGCGUGUAUGAAGAAGGCCUUCGGGUUGUAAAGUACUUUCAGCGGGGAGGAAGGGAGUAAAGUUAAUACCUUUGCUCAUUGACGUUACCCGCAGAAGAAGCACCGGCUAACUCCGUG
rnacentral:rRNA from 1 species